CUCCAGAACAAAACUCGUACAUUGCUGGUCCCAAAAGGGAGGUGGCCAAGUGGGGCAGGGCUGUGGUGGAAGCCCUGAGUCCCCUUUCUGACCUUGCAAGGCCUUGAUUUUCCUUUCUGUCAUUUCCCCCUGACGGUGUCACUUCUCUGCCUUUCCUUCCCGCCGUGCAAGUGUGUCGGCCCCGUGACCCCAGAGUCGUGUGUCCCCUAGACUUCCUAGGACGUAUCUAUUGUACACACCUAUAAAUACCUGUGUUUUAUGUUGAUAGAGAUAUAUACUGUAAAUAGCAUAUAUACUUGAGCAAUAUAUAUGUUAAUAUAUACUGUGUGCGCAGUCCGUGGACACAGCCCCCCGCUGUGUGUGCACACGUGUAUGGGCGUGAUGGCCUCCACCCCGCACCGUCUGCCAUACACGCGGGCACAUUUGAGCCACCAUAUAUUUUUAAUUCAAGUAUAUAGGCAAUACGAUUAUUACAGAAGCCGAUGGGUUCCCUCAGACCUGACUUGAGAGAACAAAGCCAGCAGCUCAAAGAGCCUGUGACAUGGGACGUGGGAAGGGUGCUGAGAGCCCGCUGUGGCGUGGGUCAUGCCUUCUGCACCCCACUUUCCCCAGGCAAGAUCCCUGGGCGCCCUUAUUUGGGGGGAUGUUGAUCCCGAGGGAGGAGUAUUUGGAAUUUCUUGCUUUUAACCAGAAUGCCCCCUCUCCCCUGCCCUCGCCAGCAGCCUCACCCUGAAGACCUGGGCCUGCUGAAUGGGCCACACGCUGCCUGUGUCCUGCCUCCGUGGGUGGCACUUUUUACGCAGGCAGCUUCUCUGUUUUUUUUGUUUUUUGUAACCUGCAAGCUUAGAAAUCUCAGGUUGUGCUCCUGGGGCUGCUCCUGGGGACUGGCCUCGUGUCAUGGAGAAAAGCAUGUGUGUCGGGGCGCGCUGGGGCCAGGGUAUGGCUCUCCGCCCUGGCUGGCUCUGCAGGGGUGGUCCCUGUUCAAGCCCGCUCCGUGGGAGCUGCCCCCUGGGGACCCUGCUCCUCGGUCACAGGGGGCCCCUUUAGUUUUCCCAUCCCCAUCCUGCUCGUGUAAAGCUUGGUUUAUCUUCUCGGCGUUCUGUGUGUAGCGUAGUCUUGGUUUGGUCUCCACAGCUCUUCGGGGUGGGGUGUGAGUGUGGUUUUUCCCAGGCAGGGGCCGUCUGCCCUUGUCCCCCAGCUAUCUCCUGGUCUGCUGGGUGGGAGGGUCUCUCCAGGCCCCAGACCCCACUUGGAGGGGCAUGUGUUUCUCAGAGGGGCUCCAUCCGCAGUUGCAUGGAACUCCUUACCUGUUUGCCGUCCAUCCCCCGGAGGUAAUCAGAGGAGUGGGCCUGUUGUCUUGGCGCUGGCGGAUGGGGCAGGUGCCUGGCGGGGGAGGAAGAGGGCUCUCUAUGAUGUGGAAUUUUUUUUUUUUUUUUUUUGAGACGGAGUCUUGCUCUGUCGCCCAGGCUGGAGUGCUGUGGCAUGAUCUCAGCUCACUGCAGCAACCUCCACUUCCUGGGUUCAAGCGAGUCUCCUACAUUGGCCUCCCAAGUAGGUGAGAUUACAGGCACUCACCACCACACGCGGCUAAUUUUUGUAUUUUUGGUAGAGACGGGGUUUCACCAUGUUGGCCACGCUGGUCUUGAACUCCUGACCUCAAGUGAUCCACCCACCUUGGCCUCCCGAAGUGCUGGGAUUACAGGCAUGAGCCACCGUGCCCGGCCUCAUGGAAUUUCUAGGGGUGAGCAGGUGACCCUGGGGCUGCCACUUGAGCUCCUGGAGUGUGUGUCUUGGCCCCUGUGUGGUUCUCCAUUAAGAAAAGCUCAGAUAGUCUCAACCCCACCCUCUCCCCUUGCUGCACUCAGAGUACCAGUGGGAGCUGAAGGAUGGGGAGGAACAGAGCAGUGACCACCCCUCCCUGCCACUGAUAAGUUCUGCCUCGUCGUGGGGCUCCCCUGGUUCCCAAGACACCCCUUCCUCCCUCAGCCCGUCGUCCUAACCCAGCAAAGAUCUGGGCAUUGCUGACUCUGCACCUCCUUCCUCCAUGGGCAUCUCCAGGACCGCCCUCCUUCAAGGGGCACUGCCCACACCACUGUCCUCAGCCCGAGGCAUGCAUCUGAGCUGGAGAGGCUUGCAGGCCUGACCCUGGUAGCUUCCCCUCCCCAAGAUUCAGAGGCGGGGACCCAAAGCCUCACUCCAAACCACUGGCAUUCUCACCUCCUCUCACCUCCAGGCACCAGGCUGCUGGUGGGAAAGGAAGGAGCUGGGGGAUCAGAGGCUUCCAGUGUGGCCUCCGGAAGCAGCAGCGUAGCCAGGGUGACAUUUGUUCAGCAGGAGGAGGCUUGGUCUGGAGGGGCUUGCCCCUCUGAGGUGACAGAGGAUGCCCUGGAGGUCAGGAGAGAAGACUGGGAAGACAGGAAGGGCCAGGCCCCUGUUAAAGCCCAGGGCACUAUUUGGUGAUCUUCAAAGGUGAACACAGGCCACCUCCCACUGGCCCCCUCCUCCUGGCCACAUUUUCCAGGGAUACCCUGGGGAGUCCUAAGGCCACCCUGGGCCCCUUUCUGAGCCUAGAGAUCUGGAUGUGGUGACAACCAGGGCUUUUCCCAGCCCCAGCUAAGAGAGGGGGCUUUAGGGCAAGAGCACCUCAGCCCUGCAAUGGGGGGAUCUUUUUUUUUUUUUUUUUUUGAGACAGGCUGGAGUGCAGUGGUGCGAUCUCGGUUCGCUGCAACCUCUGCUUCCCAGGUUCAAGUGAUUCUCCUGCCUCAGCCUCCCAAGUAGCUGGGAUUACAGGCACCCACCACCACGCUCGGCUAAUUUUUGUAUUUUUAGUAGAGACAGGGUUUCACUAUGUUGGCCAGGCUGUUCUUGAACUCCUGACCUCAGGUGAUCCGCCCACCUUGGCCUCCCAAAGUGCUGGGAUUACAGGCAUGAGAUACCCCGCCUGGCCAAUGGGAUUUUUGACGCCACUUCCUGAGUGAAGCGCUUUGCAUGGGGAUGGGAAGAAGCACCCCCAACCUUCUAGUCCGCUCCGAGCAGGGCCUGGAGCAUUGGAGACAUUGGUUAGUGUAAUAGGCAGAGCCUGAGUGAGGCCGGGGGGCUUCUCCAACAGAGAAAAGACAUUGGCUUUGGGUACCAUGCUGAGGGAGGGGGUUAGGCCUGGUGGGGGCCCAUUCAAAGGAGGCCGGGCUCGGUGGCUUAGGCCUGUCAUCCCAGCACUUUGGGAGACCAAGGUGGGAGGAUAGCUUGAGGCCAAGAUAGCAAGACCAACCUGGUCAACAUAGCAAGACCCUGCCUCUACAAGAAAAUAACGAAAGAGGCCCCAGGGAAGGAAGCCAGCCAGGAGCAGCCUGGAGCAGAGGCAGGAGCCUGAGGCCUGAGCCAUGGCAUCCAGGGACAGCCUGGUGGCCGAGAGAGCUUGUGGCUGUCACUAUAAGGGAAGAGGAGCUAUGGAAAUUGGAAGUGCAGGGUGGCCUGUGUGCUAGGAGUGGGGGUGCAGGCCUAGGUGUGUUUAUGCACACGUUUGUGCAUGUACCUGUGAGCGUGGAUGUGUUCCUAUGCAUUAGAGUGUGUGCGUGCACGUGUGCAGAGCCCACACCUGAGAUAUGGGACUGGCUCUUGGAGUAUUUUGAGUUCUCAGUAGCAGUCUUGUUGUCAGGCCUUGAGUGCAGAAAUGAUUAGGUGAGUGAGGGCAGGACUCGAAUGCAGACCCUGGCUCCAGGGGAGAGGGUGGGGCGUCUCUGGUAGGACGGCCUCACCCCACUUGUCAGAACUACUCUGGAGGGGGGCAAAGGUGUCAGGAACAGUUUGAGCAGUUCUGGCUCAGGGUCAUUCAUGAGGUUGCUGUUGUCUGAAAUCUUAGCUAAGGAUUGGAGGAUGCACUUCUAAGUGAGGCCUGGCUGUAGGCAGGAGGCCUCAGUCCUUCCCCAGGUGGGCCAACCCACAGGGCUGCUUGAGUGUCUUCACAAUAUGGCGCUCGGCUUCCCCCCAGAGCAAGAGAUUCAAGGGCCCAGGGUAAAAGCCAACGUGUUAUUUUUAUCCCUAGCCUCAGAAUUCACACGCCGUUGCCUCCACCAUGCUCUGGUUUGAUACAGCCCAGCUCUGAUUGGAAGGGGCUGGGGCUGCCCGUGCUGACUCUUCAAAGGCAUCCCAUCCUGCAGAUGGUGUUCACAGGGAGAGUUUGUGGGGGCCGGCACUCCCUCAUCUACUGGGGCUCAUUCUGGAAGAAGGUCCAGAAGAAUUGGAGACCCCUGCCCCUCACCCAAACUUUGGAGGUGGCAGGGUGAACAGCAGGCCAAGUUCAGGUCCCAAGACAGGCCAAGGCCAGUGCGGUUUCCCUUCCACUGCCUCAGUUUACCUGUAUUCAGAAGACAGUCUAGGAAGAGUUGAGCAGAGUUCCCUCUAAAAGAGUAGGGAGCUGAUAACAGUCCCAAGCCCUCCUCUUUCUCUAUGCCAAAAUCAUUUCCGUUAUCCUGAGAUGGGGGUGAGUGGAUGGAUGGUGUACUGAGGGGCCUCUGCCCUGCCCAGAGCCCCCACCAUCGUAGUGGGGGCAGGGGACUUCCUGCCCACAACCCCCUCCAACCCUCACCUGGCGUGCCCGGGUCACCAGCAGCAGCAGCGGCGUUCCAUCGCUCCCAAGAUCUGGGUGAAGGGGAGAACCUGCCAUCUUAUCCCUACCCCCCCGGGGCCCUCAAGCUUAUUUUCUUGUUGAAGAAACACAAAACCCUCGAGAUUCAUGUACUGUAUGUUGGAGAAAAAAAAUUACCUAAUGUUCCCCCAAAAAAGACAGUAUAUUUUGUACUUUGUAAAGUGUUAAUUAAAAU
rnacentral:lncRNA from 1 species